AGAACAAGAAGAAGAAGAAGAAGAAGAAGGAGAAUAGACAG
rnacentral:sRNA from 1 species